CUCCUUCACCUCCUUCAACCUUCCACACCACCAUUACUUGCAGAAAAUUUCACUUUCAGAACAACUCUCAUCGAUCUUCUCCAUCGAAAUCUCUUCGUUAAAUCUCCAUUCCUUCUUCUCCAUCGGAAUUCUUCAUUCGAAUAAUCUUUACUCGGUUUCGAAUUUAAGGUUCAGGAUUUUGAUUUGAUCGAAUAUUCAGUCAUCAUUUAACCUGUAACCUUAAACUCGAAAUUGAGUGAAUUGGUUGAAUUAGUUCCACGUUGAUUACUUUACAAAGAAUCAUCAACCAUAUAGUUUAGGGACAUCCCGAUUUAGUUUUUUCUAAUCCGAAGUUUAGAUGUGGAAAAAAAUUCUGGUCGAAGAACUAUUAGUUCAGGUUAUUGCUUUUUGUUGGACUCGAAUGCAAUUGUUUUGGAAUAGAUUAUGGGCGAUGUUUAUGCAUAUGAUGGUGAAGAUAGAAAUUGAAAUGCUGCAAACCUCACUCUGGGUAAGAUUGUAGUUUAUGGCGCAUCUUAUCCUGGCAUCUCCAAGGUACAUACUUCCUUUUCUUAUUUAUCUUUUUAUUUGUUUUACAUCUUGAAGUGUGUAAACCAAAAUUUAGAUAUUGAGAUUAGUUUAGUUCUUCUGGUUGCUAAGGAUUAAAAGAAUUGGUGUAUAUGCAUUACAGGGUUCAGUGCCAUAACCCCCGUAUCAGCUCAAGUUUGACUAAAUUAUUAGCUCCAUGUAAUCCCUAUUGGAUUGUUGGUUUUUAAUUGGAAUUUUCUGCUUUCUUGACUCAGGUUUGUCCUUAAGGGCAGGAUACUAGCCUUAGAUGUUAUGAAAAUGUGGGGAAAGGGUAAUAAUGCGCUUCGCAGGACAUCUAUUAAUUUUGAUUUAGGUGUUUUUAGUUUCUAAACACCUGUAUACCAUCACACGUUUAAGUGAAAUUUCUUCUUUUAUAAAAUCCCGAAGUUACUUUGCAGCAUUAUAGGCAUGUCUUAGUGGAUAGGUUUUUUUCUUUUUCAUGAAGCUUAGUAGAUAAAAGCGCGAUCGAAGCGGCUGUGCUUUCACAUAUUGGUAAACCCAUCUUCUUAGCGGAUAUGUUUUUUUCUUUUUCAUAAAGCUUAGUAGAUAAAAGCUCAAUCAAAGCGCCCGUGGUUUCACAUAUCGGUAACCCCAUCUUCUUUGCUUCUUUUGAUAAUUUAAUUUAUAGAGUAUACUUGGCACUUUAGAUUAUAACUAAAUGCACCAAAAAAUUUUAUAUUCUCUUAGUCUUGUAUUUUAGGUUCAAGGCAUCGGUAUUCGCUCUUUGUGCUUCCUAACUAAGAACCAAUAGGUUGCGAUGGUUUCUUUGUGUGGUUGUUAACUUUGAACCAGAUGAUGAUUGAUGAAGCUUAUUUAUCCUGCACCUUUUAUUGUUUCAAUAGUCCUGGUGCAAUGGACAGAGAUGUUAAUUGUGUAAUGUCACUAAUGUUUUUGUUACUCUCUUACAAAUUGUACACUUAAUAGGUGAAUAUCUCUCUUUUCAGAUUAAACUAGAGAUGAACGACAAAGGCAUGAUCCAGAGGGAUGCCUGACAUUUUUUUUGUUUUGAAGCUCUGCUGGGCAACUAUACACCUAAUCGCGUCCAUGAGGAUCUUGCUUUGCCAGGCCCAUCACCUACCUGUAGUCUUAGCUUGGCAGUCAUGAUCUGCUAACCCAUAUUUUCGAGCCUUUAUAUAUAAUAAUUAUGAUCAGGAAUUGUAGCUGACAGUAGACAAUGAGUUGUCCUACUUUCUUAAGAAGUUAUGCGGUUAUCUGCAGAUUGAUCAUCGGCCCAUUUGGUUGUUAAUUUGACACUUAGUUUGUGUUGUUGCAGUGUUAACUACAUCACUUGGAGCUGACAGGACUGUUUUUCCUCUUCGCCAGUGCAUAAAUUAUAUUGUUAAACAAUCAUAGACUCAUCAAAAAAUGGACAGAAUGAGUAACAUAUAGAAUACAAUUA